GACGAGCCACACGAACGUUGUUCGGAAUUACUGGGCGUAAAGGGCGCGUAGGCGGUUUUGUAAGCCAGAUGUGAAAGCCCCGGGCUUAACCUGGGAAUGGCAUUUGGGACUGCAAGGCUUGAGUGCGGCAGAGGAGACUGGAAUUCCCGGUGUAGCAGUGAAAUGCGUAGAUAUCGGGAGGAAUACCGAUGGCGAAGGCAGGUCUCUGGGCUGACACUGACGCUCAUGCACGAAAAGCCGUGGGG
rnacentral:rRNA from 1 species